UUUUGUAGAAUGAACCGGCGAGUUACGAUUUGAUGCAAGGUUAAGCAGUAAAUGUGGAGCCGUAGCGAAAGCGAGUCUGAAUAGGGCGUUUAGUAUUUGGUCGUAGACCCGAAACCAGGUGAUCUACCCUUGGUCAGGUUGAAGUUCAGGUAACACUGAAUGGAGGACCGAACCGACUUACGUUGAAAAGUGAGCGGAUGAACUGAGGGUAGCGGAGAAAUUCCAAUCGAACCUGGAGAUAGCUGGUUCUCUCCGAAAUAGCUUUAGGGCUAGCCUCAAGUGAUGAUUAUUGGAGGUAGAGCACUGUUUGGACGAGGGGCCCCUCUCGGGUUACCGAAUUCAGACAAACUCCGAAUGCCAAUUAAUUUAACUUGGGAGUCAGAACAUGGGUGAUAAGGUCCGUGUUCGAAAGGGAAACAGCCCAGACCACCAGCUAAGGUCCCAAAAUAUAUGUUAAGUGGAAAAGGAUGUGGCGUUGCCCAGACAACUAGGAUGUUGGCUUAGAAGCAGCCAUCAUUUAAAGAGUGCGUAAUAGCUCACUAGUCGAGUGACACUGCGCCGAAAAUGUACCGGGGCUAAACAUAUUACCGAAGCUGUGGAUUGUCCUUUGGACAAUGGUAGGAGAGCGUUCUAAGGGCGUUGAAGCAUGAUCGUAAGGACAUGUGGAGCGCUUAGAAGUGAGAAUGCCGGUGUGAGUAGCGAAAGACGGGUGAGAAUCCCGUCCACCGAUUGACUAAGGUUUCCAGAGGAAGGCUCGUCCGCUCUGGGUUAGUCGGGUCCUAAGCUGAGGCCGACAGGCGUAGGCGAUGGAUAACAGGUUGAUAUUCCUGUACCACCUAUAAUCGUUUUAAUCGAUGGGGGGACGCAGUAGGAUAGGCGAAGCGUGCGAUUGGAUUGCACGUCUAAGCAGUAAGGCUGAGUAUUAGGCAAAUCCGGUACUCGUUAAGGCUGAGCUGUGAUGGGGAGAAGACAUUGAGUCUUCGAGUCGUUGAUUUCACACUGCCGAGAAAAGCCUCUAGAUAGAAAAUAGGUGCCCGUACCGCAAACCGACACAGGUAGUCAAGAUGAGAAUUCUAAGGUGAGCGAGCGAACUCUCGUUAAGGAACUCGGCAAAAUGACCCCGUAACUUCGGGAGAAGGGGUGCUCUUUAGGGUUAACGCCCAGAAGAGCCGCAGUGAAUAGGCCCAAGCGACUGUUUAUCAAAAACACAGGUCUCUGCUAAACCGUAAGGUGAUGUAUAGGGGCUGACGCCUGCCCGGUGCUGGAAGGUUAAGAGGAGUGGUUAGCUUCUGCGAAGCUACGAAUCGAAGCCCCAGUAAACGGCGGCCGUAACUAUAACGGUCCUAAGGUAGCGAAAUUCCUUGUCGGGUAAGUUCCGACCCGCACGAAAGGCGUAACGAUUUGGGCACUGUCUCAACGAGAGACUCGGUGAAAUCAUAGUACCUGUGAAGAUGCAGGUUACCCGCGACAGGACGGAAAGACCCCGUGGAGCUUUACUGUAGCCUGAUAUUGAAAUUCGGCACAGCUUGUACAGGAUAGGUAGGAGCCUUUGAAACGUGAGCGCUAGCUUACGUGGAGGCGCUGGUGGGAUACUACCCUAGCUGUGUUGGCUUUCUAACCCGCACCACUUAUCGUGGUGGGAGACAGUGUCAGGCGGGCAGUUUGACUGGGGCGGUCGCCUCCUAAAAGGUAACGGAGGCGCUCAAAGGUUCCCUCAGAAUGGUUGGAAAUCAUUCAUAGAGUGUAAAGGCAUAAGGGAGCUUGACUGCGAGACCUACAAGUCGAGCAGGGUCGAAAGACGGACUUAGUGAUCCGGUGGUUCCGCAUGGAAGGGCCAUCGCUCAACGGAUAAAAGCUACCCCGGGGAUAACAGGCUUAUCUCCCCCAAGAGUUCACAUCGACGGGGAGGUUUGGCACCUCGAUGUCGGCUCAUCGCAUCCUGGGGCUGUAGUCGGUCCCAAGGGUUGGGCUGUUCGCCCAUUAAAGCGGUACGCGAGCUGGGUUCAGAACGUCGUGAGACAGUUCGGUCCCUAUCCGUCGUGGGCGUAGGAAAUUUGAGAGGAGCUGUCCUUAGUACGAGAGGACCGGGAUGGACAUACCUCUGGUGUACCAGUUGUCGUGCCAACGGCAUAGCUGGGUAGCUAUGUGUGGACGGGAUAAGUGCUGAAAGCAUCUAAGCAUGAAGCCCCCCUCAAGAUGAGAUUUCCCAACUUCGGUUAUAAGAUCCCUCAAAGAUGAUGAGGUUAAUAGGUUCGAGGUGGAAGCAUGGUGACAUGUGGAGCUGACGAAUACUAAUCGAUCGAAGACUUAAUCAA
rnacentral:rRNA from 1 species